GACGAACGCUGGCGGCGUGCUUAACACAUGCAAGUCGAACGGAAAGGCCCUGCUUGCAGGGUACUCGAGUGGCGAACGGGUGAGUAACACGUGGGUGAUCUGCCCUGCACUUCGGGAUAAGCUUGGGAAACUGGGUUUAAUACCGGAUAGGAGCCAUCUUGAGUGUGGUGGUUGGAAAGUUUUUUCGGUGUAGGAUGAGCUCGCGGCCUAUCAGCUUGUUGGUGGGGUAAUGGCCUACCAAGGCGGCGACGGGUAGCCGGCCUGUGAGGGUGUACGGCCACAUUGGGGCUGAGAUACGGCCCAGACUCCUACGGGGGGCAGCAGUGGGGAAUAUUGCACAAUGGGCGCAAGCCUGAUGCAGCGACGCCGCGUGGGGGAUGAAGGCCUUCGGGUUGUAAACUCCUUUCGCUAGGGACGAAGCUUUGUUGUGACGGUACCUAGAUAAGAAGCACCGGCUAACUACGUG
rnacentral:rRNA from 1 species